rnacentral:tRNA from 1 species
AAGGUCCUAGCUUAAUUAAAGCACUUGAGUUGCAUUCAUGAGAUGUAGGUUAGUAUCCUGCGGGCCUUA